rnacentral:misc_RNA from 1 species
AGCUCACAUAAACCCUAAUUUGGAGCCACCUCUUUGUUCUUAAACCCUAAAACUUAGAAGAGAGCUCCAAUGGAUUCUGUAAGCAAUAAUGAGAUUGAGAAUUCAGCAAGCUAUGGGAAAAACCAAUCAAAGAUCAAAUUCCAGUAUGAGGAUGAUGAUGAACAAGUAGUACAAGAUGAAGCUGUUACCGAAAGCUCGAAUCUUGAAGUGGAUGAAGAUAUCUCCAUGUGUGACCCCACCACCACCGCCGCCGCCGUGGAUGAGUCGAUGGUCGGCGGUGAUAAGACCAGCGCUGACUAUUAUUUCGACUCAUACUCACAUUUUGGUAUUCACGAAGAGAUGUUGAAGGAUGUCGUAAGAACUAAGACUUACCAAAAUGUAAUCUAUAAAAAUUCCUUUCUUUUCAAGGAUAAAGUGGUCCUUGAUGUGGGAGCUGGGACAGGAAUCCUGUCACUCUUUUGUGCAAAAGUUGGUGCCAAACAUGUGUAUGCGAUAGAAUGCUCCAGUAUGGCUGACACGGCACAAGAAAUUGUUAAACUCAAUGGAUUUUCUGAUGUUAUAACGGUUAUCAAGGGAAAGGUAGAGGAGAUUGACCUACCCGUUCCACAAGUGGAUAUAAUAAUCUCUGAGUGGAUGGGAUACUUUCUUCUGUACGAGAACAUGUUAGAUACAGUCUUGUAUGCUCGCGACAAGUGGCUGGUAAAGGAUGGUGUUGUUCUGCCGGAUAAAGCUUCUCUUUAUUUGACAGCUAUUGAAGAUGCUGAUUACAAAGAAGAUAAGAUCGAAUUUUGGAAUAGUGUGUAUGGUUUCGACAUGAGCUGCAUACGAAAGCAAGCUAUGAUGGAACCUAUUGUUGACACAGUAGAUCAGAAUCAGAUCGUCACCAACUGCCAGUUACUGAAGACGAUGGACAUUUCGAAGAUGACUUCUGGGGAUGCUUCCUUCACAGCUCCAUUUAAGCUCAUUGCAGAACGUGACGAUUACAUCCAUGCACUUGUAGCAUACUUCGAUGUCUCUUUCACAAAGUGUCACAAGUUGUUGGGCUUCUCAACAGGGCCCAAAUCUCGAAGCACACAUUGGAAGCAAACAGUUCUCUACCUGGAAGAUGUGAUAACUGUUUGCCACGGGGAAGCUGUAGUUGGAAGCAUGACUGUGGCUCCUAACAAGAAAAAUCCUCGAGAUGUCGAUAUAAUGCUCAAAUACUCUGUAAAUGGUAAACACUGCCGCGUUUCAAGAACUCAGUAUUAUCGGAUGAGAUGAUAUGCAUUACAGAUGAGUGAGUUCCUGCGUUGUCCGCAGCUUUCGGGUGGAUAUACAGGAACUGAUAAACAUUCCUACCUGCUUCCCAAAGGCAGUCAAUGUUAAGUGUACUCUCUUUAUAUCUUCCCAUCAAACUAUGGAUUAUUUUUCUGUCUAUUUGCUUAGUUACUCUACACAACUAAGAAAUUCAUUUGUUGCAUUAUCUGAUGCUUGAGGCCAAAG